AAACUCAAAGGAAUUGACGGGGCCCGCACAAGCGGUGGAGCAUGUGGUUUAAUUCGAUGCAACGCGAAGAACCUUACCUGGGCUUGACAUCCCGGGAAUCCCUUGGAAACAAGGGAGUGCCCUUCGGGGAACCUGGAGACAGGUGCUGCAUGGCUGUCGUCAGCUCGUGUCGUGAGAUGUAGGGUUAAGUCCCGCAACGAGCGCAACCCUUGCCAUUAGUUGCUACGAAAGGGCACUCUAAUGGGACUGCCGGUGACAAACCGGAGGAAGGUGGGGAUGACGUCAAGUCCUCAUGGCCCUUAUAGGUGGGGCUACACACGUCAUACAAUGGCCGGUACAGAGGGUAGCCAACCCGCGAGGGGGAGCCAAUCCCACAAAGCCGGUCGUAGUCCGGAUCGCAGUCUGCAACUCGACUGCGUGAAGUCGGAAUCGCUAGUAAUCGCGGAUCAGCAUGUCGCGGUGAAUACGUUCCCGGGUCUU
rnacentral:rRNA from 1 species